CCUACGGGUGGCAGCAGUGAGGAAUAUUGGUCAAUGGGCGAGAGCCUGAACCAGCCAAGUCGCGUGAGGGAGUACUGCCCUAUGGGUUGUAAACCUCUUUUGUCGGGGAGCAAAAGCCGGACGUGUCCGGCUGUGAGAGUACCCGAAGAAAAAGCAUCGGCUAACUCCGUGCCAGCAGCCGCGGUACUACGGAGGAUGCGAGCGUUAUCCGGAUUUAUUGGGUUUAAAGGGUGCGCAGGCGGAUUGUUAAGUCAGCGGUAAAAUCGUGGGGCUCAACCCCAUCCAGCCGUUGAAACUGGGGAUCUAGAGUGUGCGAGAGGUAUGCGGAAUGCGGGGUGUAGCGGUGAAAUGCAUAGAUAUCACGCAGAACCCCGAUUGCGAAGGCAGCAUACCGGUGCACAACUGACGCUCAGGCACGAAAGCGUGGGUAUCGAACAGGAUUAGAUACCCUAGUAGUC
rnacentral:rRNA from 1 species